GGCUCGGUGGCGGGUGGUCCGCAUCUGCAUCCAUUUGCCAGGUCUCCAUCUACAUGGUAGACAGAAGGUGCUCGUUCGAAUCGGGCCCGAGCCA